ACUAGGAAUUUUGCGCAAUGGGGGCAACCCUGACGCAGCGACACAGCGUGGAGGAGGAAGGUCUUCGGAUUGUAAACUCCUUUUAUAUGGGAAGAAUAGAUGACUGUACCAUAUGAAUAAGCACCUGCUAACUACGUGCCAGAAGCAUCGGUGAUGCGUAGGGUGCGAACGUUAUCCGGAUUUAUUGGGCGUAAAGAGAUGCGUAGGCGUUUCAGUUAGUCUUUCGUUAAAAGUCACGGCUUAACCGUGAAGAUGCGUUGGAUACUGCUGAAAUUGAGACAUGAAGGGGUGAACGGAACUCCAAGUGGAGCGGUGUAAUGCGUUGAUAUUUGGAAGAACAUCAGAGGCGAAGGCGGUUCACUGGUCAUUGUCUGACGCUAAGGCUCGAAAGCGUGGGUAGCAAAACGGAUUAGAAACCCCUGUAGUCC
rnacentral:rRNA from 1 species